AAGAGCACCCUGCUGAAGAGGCUGCUCCAGGAGCACAGCGGCAUCUUUGGCUUCAGCGUGUCCCGUGAGUCCAGGGCUCUUGUGGAGGGAUACCACGAGGAACCCGAGGCCCGGCGAGGAGAACGGCAAAGAUUACUACUUUGUAACCAGGGAGGUGAUGCAGCGUGACAUAGCAGCCGGCGACUUCAUCGAGCAUGCCGAGUUCUCGGGGAACCUGUAUGGCACGAGCAAGGUGGCGGUGCAGGCUGUGCAGGCCAUGAACCGCAUCUGUGUGCUGGACGUGGACCUGCAGGGUGUGCGGAACAUCAAGGCCACCGAUCUGCAGCCCAUCUACAUCUCUGUGCAGCCACCUUCACUGCAUGUGCUGGUGUGUGCUGGGCAGGGUUGGGGGCUGGGGGCCAGGGCAUGCCAGGCUCUGAUUGCCACCCCCUUUUUAGGAGCAGCGGCUGCGGCAGCGCAACACUGAAACGGAGGAGAGCCUGGUGAAGCGGCUGGCUGCUGCCCAGGCCGACAUGGAGAGCAGAAAUCAAGAAAGCUCAAAGGACCGGCGCCUGAGGCUUGCUGUCUGUUCUUGGCACCCCGGGCCCAUACAGGACCAGGGCAGCAGCACUGAGCCACCCCCUUGGCAGGCGAUACGGCAGCUCUGCGCCCUUGGCCAGCAUGUGGAGUGGAGGGGAUGCUGCCCCUGUGGUUGGAACAUCCUGGGGUGACCCCCGACCUAGCCUCGCUGGGCUGUCCCCUGUCCCUAUCUCUCACUCUGGACCCAGGGCUGACAUCCUAAUAAAAUAACUGUUGGAUUAGAAACUCC
rnacentral:sRNA from 1 species